AAAAAGAUUGUUUACGUUUCUCACAGCUUGCUGCUGAGUGCGUAAAAGUGAUCAACUCCUAUGUAUUUUCUUGUCUAACCCUUCCUUACGUGUGAAAUACAUGUAAA
rnacentral:misc_RNA from 1 species